GCGGCAUGCUGUCCGGGUGCGUGGAUAAUACGGAGUGGGCAAGCGUGAUCCGUGAGUACUUGGGUUAAAGGGUGCGUAGGUGGCAGGUGAAGUCAGAUGUGAAAGACCGGGGCGCAAGCCCGGAGCUGCAUUUGAAACUGCAUAGCUAGAGUAGAGGAGAGGCAGGCGGAGUUCCUAGUGUAGCGGUGAAAUGCGUAGAUAUUAGGAGGAACACCAGUGGCGAAGGCGGCCUGCUGGACUGUUACUGACACUGAGGCACGAAAGCGUGGGGAGCAAACAGGAUUAGAUACCCGAGUAGUC
rnacentral:rRNA from 1 species